GGCGAAAUCGGGUAGUGGUUAUCUCGUCACGUUUAGGCCUUGGUCUCAAUUUCCGUGAUGCUUAACGGCGCGUGGGUUCAAAUCCCACUUUCGUCA
rfam:Plicaturopsis crispa FD-325 SS-3 unplaced genomic scaffold PLICRscaffold_1, whole genome shotgun sequence.